AGUUGUGCAUAUUCGUGCAUUCCAGAACACACACAAUUUUUUUUUUUUUUUUUUUUUUUUUUUUUUUUUUUUUUACUUUUUUGGUUUUUCCAGGCCAUUUCUCUAUGUAGCCCUGCCUGUGACAGGACUUGCUGGCCAGUUUUCAAGCAGGCUGGCCUCAAACUCAAGAGAUCUGCCUCCUAAGUAUUGGAAUUAAAGGCAUGUGCCUCCACCCCCAGCUCCAGUGCUAAGUUUGCCAUGGGUGGGUUCAGUGUUUACAGUUGAAUGUUCAUUUCCUGCCUGCUGUGAGCCACUUUGCUGUUUGCUUUUGCUCUGUGGUCUGUUAAACUGAAGACCCAUCCUUAUGCAGAAGUGUCAGAUCCUAGGAAAUAAACGGAACUCGACUCUGACUUUUCUCUCCAUUCCUGUCCUCUUACUGCCCUUCUUGGUCUGCAUCGGUUUGCUGACUUCUGCAGCUUUUCUUUAACCUUCCCCGGCAGCACAACAUCAGAAGCAGCUCAGCCUCUGUCUCCCUCCAUAGUUUACUUAGAACUAAAGCUGAUUUGUGAGUCUGGGGAGUCAGCAACAAGCACCGCUUCUUGAAAUCGAUCACAUAAUUAGCCCCAAAGCUCUUCUAAAGGCCCAGACACCCAGCACUGGGUGAGUACUCCCCUGUUGGUACCACUCAUCCAGCCAGGAGACUUCCAAGAUUCAAGUCAGCCAACCUGCACCCACCAAUGUACCUUGUUUAACAAGGGUUGCCAACAGCCAGGC
rnacentral:lncRNA from 1 species